rnacentral:lncRNA from 1 species
GGGGUUAGGAUUUCUUCCCAUGGUGCCCAGCCACGGACAAUCCAGUUCUUUCUUCGAGCUUCGUCUUCGGUUUCUUGGUCUUUUGGUGCGAAUUUUUCAAGGAAUGUUUCGUCUACUGGGAAUUCAUCUGAGCUGUAAGAUUUUGGAGGUGUUAGAGUGGUCGAGAGAGGGUGCCGAGAGAGGAGGAGGAACUGGUGGUGGUUUUUAUGGUGGGGUUUAAGGGAAGGGUUUAGGGGUUUGGGUAAAGAGAAGAGAGGGAAAGGAGUUCGGAGGAUUUGCAUUUUUGUGUGCAAAAUGGAGAGUGAGUGAGUAGUGGAUAAAGCUUUUAGUUUUCACUUUUUAAAAUUGUAGUGAGAGUUUUUCUUAUUUUAUUUUUACAAAAUUGGAUUUGAUUUUUGCCCUUUUUGUUGUGGCUGCUUAUUUUUGCUGUAAAAUUAUAUUUUUUUAUUUUUUUUGUUUUAAUUUUUUAUAUGAUGGUACAAUAAUAUUAAAAAUAAAUUUUUAAAAAUAAAAAAAAUAUUAUUUUAAUAUAUUUAAAAAAAAACUUUAAAAUACAUCUUAUAUCAAUCCCUAGAAAAUAGAUGGCAUGAGUGUUGUUCCUACUUGCUGAAGAACAGAUUUAGUCCCCCAAGUCUAAGUUUAUUUUCAAUUUAGUUGGUUAGUUUUUUUUUUCUUGAACAAAUGUUAAAUUAAGUUCAUGAAACUUGAAAACCACCGAUAUUAUGUUAAGGACUAAUUUGUUUAACAGUAUGAUUCUUGAACCUCUUCUAAGUUAUUAACUAUAUUUUUUAUGAAAAUUGUGGGAAUUUGUUUUUAAGAUUUCAUGUUGAUAAAACACUAUAAAGAGCACGCGUGUUGUUUUACCAAGUUAGAUUUUUUUUUUUCAUGAAAAUGAAAGGGUAAGUAGGCUAUCUUACAGUACUUAGCAAAAAAUAUUUUUAUCCACAUCAAACUAUCCAUUUAUUUGAAAAUAUCCUCUCUCUAUCUAUAUCAUGAUCCAGCUUAGGAUAUUUUCAAAGAUAGCUAUAAUCAUGAAUAAAGAACGUAGAUAUACUACUAAAUGUUAAUUUAAUAUUUUUUUUCAAUAAAAUAUAAUUGAAAAUCAGGUUGUAAUACAAAUACCAUGUUUAUAUAUUUUAAAAGUAUUAAAAAAAAGUAAUUUUUUUUUAAAUUUGAUUUUUUAUUUUUAAAUUUGAUAUGAUAAUAUCAAAAAUAAAUUAAAAAAAUAUAUUAUUUUAAUAUAUUUUUAAAUAAAAAAUAUUUUAAAAAAUAAUCAUUAUUAUAAUAAACUUUUAAAAAAAGAUCUCCCAAACCAAGUCAAAAUCCAAAUCUUUAAAAGUGGAAACCAAGUCCAAAUCCUUAAAAGUGGUACGAAAUUGAUUCAAAACUACAAAGAAAGUUUGAAGCUAACAAGGACUUCGAGAAUUCUUGAAUACAAAGAUUGAAAAUGAAGGAGAUUCACAUAGGCAGAGCAUGAAUGUUAAUAGAUCAUGCAGCCUUUACAUAUCCAUCUCCCAUUUUAGUACUCCUAGACGAAUAUAUAUACAGAAAAUUAACUAAAAAAGAAGCAGAGCUAGAAGUCCCAUUAUUCUAAAUGGAACGGAAAUAAAUAAAAAUGAAAUGUUCAUGGGCACGAGCAUGCAGCUGCACUUCAACAGUAUCCCUUUCGUAAGCAGUGAAGUCAGGAGUAAAACUGGAAGUCCCUGGCUUGUAGUAUUAUCUGCCUUAAUGCUCCAAUGGGGGCUAAUACCAUCAAUACAAAGCCAAGGAUAAUGCAUAUCUGUAGAUAAUGAGAAGAAAUUAAGACCACAACUAUAUUGCUAAUUAGAAAAAAAAAAAAAAAAAAAGAGGCUGGAAAUUAACAGGAACAUACCCAAUUUGCGAGCCAUGACAAGCUGAAUUUCUUUGGUUUAUAUACAGCAAGCCACAUGACGCAGGGGAGCUGCAAAGAGAUUGCAAAUUAAUAUUAGGCAUUUUGAGCUUUGCAUAUUGUUUAUUGAAGCAAUUAGAAAGAUAAGCAUAGAUAUGUAUAACAUGGUGCCUUACAUAAUAUGAGGUGGGAGCAAAGGCAAAUCCUCCAAAGAAACUUAGAAGCCCACCAAAAAAUGGGAAUGUCAUUGCGACGAACAUGGUCAAUCCUGCAUCAAAUUAACACGAAAUUAAGUUAAUUAAACCAAAAUCAUCUCCCUUUGUCAAAAGAACACUCCUUUUAGCACACAAAAAUCAGUAAUCAAUGGAAGUUUUUAUGGAGAUUUGUCCUCACCAACAUAUAGAAUUCGUGUUAUGAAGCGAAGCGGCUGACCCGGUUGGAACUUCAUUUUCAACACCAGGAAUGCUUCCAUCAUAUCAAACACCGGCAUUGCAAAAACCUGUAUUACGCAAAACAAUGGCACAUUUAUGAUUAAUCUCAAAAAAAGAAAAAGGAAAAGAGUAAGAUUGUUUAGGCAUACCUGAUAACUUCCGAUGACAUGAAUGACAACAAACAAAUUAGCGGCGGCAACAAGCCAGCGAGGCUUCUCCAGUGAUAAGAGGAUGUUGUCCUCAACUUUGUUUCCGAACACCCAGUAACCUAUGAAACUAACAGGUAAGUAACACAAAGCGACAACAAGAUAAGCAACAACCACUCCUUUCCACAUUGGUUUCUUGGAAGGCUUCCCGGGCGUGGAAGGGAUUGUUGCCUGGAUCUCCAACACCACACUGUGCCCUGCGAAGGCAAACGCUAUAUCUCCUAGAGCACUGAAGCUGUCGAACAUCUGCCCAGUAUUUGUUGAAGCCCUUGAGGUGUACUGCACAUCUGGUUGAACCCCUUUCUGCCAUGAAACCACCCACGCAAUUGUCGAGUAACUACACGUAACAUGAUUGAUCUUAGAACAGCAUUCAAGGAGUUUUGUGCUAGUGACUGCAAUAUAGAAAUGACAGCAGAUCUAUCUUACCUCAAGGACAUGACGGCGGCGACAAGAGAGACAGCGGUGAUGGAAUUGAAACUGGGGAGAUGAGAGAUGACAAAGUGAACCGAGGAAAAGAUCAUAAUGAAAUAGGUAAGUUUGAUUUCUUUGUAGUUAGGCCAGAUAGUAUCAUGAGCCUUCUUCAGAGAUUUCCCUCCAGUAAUCAUGUACACUAUACUCGAACCAACUUCCACCAUUAGUUGCUGGGGAACCACCACCCAAAGCCCGAGUUUUUCACCGAAUGCAUGCUGCCCUAACUCAUGAUACCUAUCAAAUCUCUUUCCAGGCACCAUUUCAUGCAUCUCCACCAUCUGCCACAGUGUAUAUAGAGUGAUAACCCAUGACAGGAUCAAUACAGCAGCACCGGGACCCCUAAAACAAAAUCGAGAACAUCAUUUAGCCAUUGAGAUCACAUUAAGUAAUCAACACUGCUGUUGCCAUGGUUAAUUAUAAAUUCCAGCCUCUAGACCUAGACGAUUUGACUUGAGAAAAUAAUGAUCCUUUAGCCAUUAAUUGUUUUGGCUACUGAAUGCUUACUUACCAUCCAAGUUGAGACAUGGCAUAAGGGAGGCCUAGGACCCCAGCACCAACCAUGGCUGUAACAUUGUGGAAGGCAGAAUACCACCACUUUGCAUUCCUCGACUGGGUGAUGGGAAGCCAGUCAUUCAGGUCUUUCUUCGCGUCGUAAGUGCUUGACAUAUCCUUAACCGGUUCCAUUUGAUCCAUUUUUGUUAUUCUAAACAAUUAAUGUUAAUCUGAAUAGCAACAAACUAUCUAAGAGAUUAUAACUCUUCAAGAGUUGAUUGUAGAUUUUGAUAUGACCUAGUUAGAUACUGUACUGCAAAGUGUAUAUAUAUAUACCUAAAAAUAAGAGUUUGGUUCCUUUUAAAACUCAAAUUUAUUUUGACUAAGUUAUCAAUUAACAAGAUUUUUAAAUUAUAGAUAAUGCUUAAUACCAAUUCAAUUAUAUAUAUAUAUAACAAGAGUUUGUUUCCUUCUAAAACUCAAAUUUGUUUUGACUAAGUUAUCUACUAAAAAUAUUUAAAAUAUUGAUAAUGUUCAAUAAAAGUUGAAUUAUCUAUAUGAUAUUAUUGGAUUAUUUUUUUCUAAGCUAAUAAAAUCUCCCUUAAGAUUCUAACAAAGAAACCAACAUAAUAAUAAUAAUAAUAAUAAUAAUCAUAAUAAUAAUAAUUUGUUUUGUGAUCAAUAAAGAAAACAAAACCUUGCCAGAUCAGUCUUGACUUUGCAUUUAUCUAUUGGUUUCUUUUAAAUGACGGGCUAGGUAUGGAUUUUAGACUCAUCGGCUCUUGGUCUAGUUUUUCAACGAGUUGAACUAGGGUUAUUGAGUUUAAUAUAUAUAUAUAUAUAUAUAUAUAUAUAUAUAUAUAUAUAUAUAUAUAUUAACAACUCCCCGUAAUUGAGAAAAGUGUUUUUCUUUCUGUGUAGAAAAUAUUUGAAAUUUUUUUUAUGAAUUUAUAUAUAAGAAUGUUAGAAAUAAUUUUUAAAAUAUAAAAAAUAUUAUUUUAAUAUAUUAUGUAAUUCUCUUCCUUUGCUCGUUUGCAGUCGCAAAACCAUAAAACUUUUCCUGGAAACAGACCUCCCUGGCCCACCUUGUAGAUUGAAGAAGCCCAAUCCUGUUAUCUAAUGAAGUUAAUAUGAUGACCACAAGUAUUUGCAUGCUCUUUGUUUUUCCUUCAACUCCAGUCCAAGUUACAAGUAUGUUUAUGAAAUGUGAUUUCUCUCCGUCCAGCUCCUGGAGAUUGUUCGCUGUUAACUAAUUUAUUCUGGAGAUUAUUCUGGAGAUUGUUCGCUGUUAACUAAUAUAUAUAUAUAUAAACAAGAGUUUGUUUCCUUUUAAAACUCAAAUUUAUUUUGAGUAAGUCAUCUACUAAAAAUAUUUAAAAUAUUGAUAAUAUUCAAUAAAAGUUGAAUUAUCUAUAUGAUAUUAUAGGAUUUUUUUUUCUAAGCUAAUAAAAUUCCCUUGAAGAUUCUAACAAAGAAACCAAUAGAUAAAUAAUAAUAAUAAAAAAAUUGUUUUGUGAUCAACAAAGAAAACAUAACCCCGCCCGAUCAGUCUUGGCUCCACAUUUAUCUGUUGGUUUCUUUUAAAUGACAGGUCUGGAUAUGGACUUUAGACUCAUCAGCUCUCAGUUUGGUUUUUCAACGAGCUGGGCUAGGGUUCUUGAGUUUAAUAUAUAUAUAUAUAUAUAUAUAUAUAUAUAUGUGUGUGUGUGUGUGUGUGUGUGUGUGUGUGUAUUAAACAUCUCCUAGUAAUUGAGAAAAGUGUUUUUGUUUCUUUGUAGAAAAGUUUUGAAUUUUUUUUUAUGAUUUUUGAUAUAAGAAUGUUAGAAAUAAUUUUUAAAAUAUAAAAAAUAUUAUUUUAAUAUAUUUUUUAAUAAAAAACAUUUUAAAAAAUUACAGCUGUUAUAAUAUCUAAAACAAAUACACAAAUUAUAGAUAUUAUAUUGUGAAGUGUAUAUACAAACCUAAAAGUAAGAGUUAAGUUCCUUUUAAAACUUAAAUUUGUUUUGAUUAAGUUAUUCACUAACAAAAUUUUUAAAUUAUAAAUAAUGUUUAAUAGAAGUCCAAUUAUACACACGUGAUAUUAUAGGAUUUGUUUUCUUCUAAGCCAAUAAAAUCUCCAUGGGAGCUUCUAACAAAGUUUAUAUACCAAGACUCAUGAUCAGUGGGAAGGUACUAUAAUACAAAUACAAGCUCUUUACGAAGUUAGUAGUUAUCUACGCAAAGCAUACCUCGUAACUUCCGAUGACAUGAAUGACAACAGACAAAUUAGCGGCCGCAACAAGAUUUUUUUUUUCUUUACACAUUUUUUUGGGAAAAAUUAUUACUAGGACCAGGAAAAUAUAUAUAUAUAUAUAUAUAUAUAUAUAUAUAUUUUGUAGAGAUAAUUUUUGAACCAACUUGAACAGUGGACAUGUUGGAACUAAAUCUAUGUCUUUAUAAUUUGUAUGUUGCCAUACAAAAAAUAAGUUAAUUAUACAAUAAAUUAAAAGGAAAAUGAUGAUUUUAUAAUUAAGUUUAGAAUUUUGGCUAUUGUAGCAAGUGGUGUAAUGUAAUGGUGGAACAAUUGUAUUUGUUUUUUUUUUUGUAGACAACAAGUUUUCUUUAGAAUUAUUUUAUGUUUAUAUUUGAUAUUUGUAUUUUUGUUUUUUAUCAUUUUACACUAGGCUCGUUUUUUUUUCUUGUUUUUAUUUUUUUUGUAAUGUAUUUUUAGUUUUUUUUUCUUUACAUAUGUUUUUGGAGUAAAAUAUUACUUUUUAUUAUUUAUACUAUUUUUUUUGUUUUUAUCUUUAUUCUUUUAUAUAUUUAUACAAUAUAUUUUUUUUAUUGUAGAAAACUAGUGUAUUUAAAAUUUAUUUUUUGUUUAUAUUUGAUAUUUUUUAUCAAAUAUAAAUUCGAAACAAUAAUAAUUGAUACAAUCUCUCAUGUUAUUGAAAAAUAGGCAACUCUUAACCUUUGUUAUCUAAACAAAAGUAAAAGUUGGUUACACCUGUUGUAACCCAUUUCUGGGUCCCCAUAUAAAAAAUAAUAAAAUACAAAAAAAAAUUCAAAAAAUAUAUUAUCAAAAAAUAGAACAGUGAAAAAAUGCUAAAGCGCCCUAAAAAUGCUCAAAAAAAUUGUUUAAGGAUUUUCAAAAAUAUAAAAAUUAUUUUUUGACAGUAUAUCAUUGACUGAUGAGAGCCCCGAUGACAAAGAAAAUUCAAUUUGAGGAAGAAAAAUGCAAAAUUAGAAGUUUAUGGACUCAAUUAAAUUUUAUUGAAGGUUUAAUUGAAUUUAUAGAGUUUUAAUUGCAAAAAAAUUGAUUUUGGAGUUAAUUUGGGCUUUAAUUAGAGAAAUUAAUUUUCUGGGGUCAAAUUAUAAUUUUUGGAAGUUAAUUUGGUCAAAUCAGGGGCUUAAUUGCAUAAAUAUUGAAGUUUAAUGGCCAUUAGGGACUUAAUUGAAGUCCAAGACCAAGGACUAAAAUGCAAAACGCGCGCAAAUUGACUUCUUUGAAUCUGACGCUUUUGGCGCCUUUUCCUUUUAAAUGAAACGGCGCGUUUUGACCAAAACGGCGCCGUUUCAUCCACUGUUGCAAAAAAAAAAAAAAAAGAAGCCCAAAACGGUGCCGUUUUGAACGGCACUGUAGUCUUCUUCUUCCCCUGGACGCGGCAGGGGAAGAAGAAGAUUUUUCUUCUCCCUUUUCGCCUACUUUCUUUCCCUUUUUUGCAAAAAGACGCCCACCAUUGCCUAACUUAUCCUUUGACGGUAGUGGAGGGGCGGCCAACAGUGGCCGCCCCACCAUGACGUCUCCCCUGUUUUUUGCCUAUAAAAACAGGGGAAACCAAAGAAGAAAAAGAAGAACAGAAGGGAGAAGAGAGAGGGGAGAGAAGGAGAGGACCGAGAGAGAGUAGAGAAGAAAAGAAAAGAAAAGAAAAGAAGAGGUUCUCACCUCUGCACCGAAGAAGAAAAACAGGGGAGAGGCUGCCACUGCCAUCGCCAGCACCGUCUCCGCCUCCGCUGCCACCAGCAGUCUCGGCGUCGCCGCCUCUCCAGGUAAACACUGCCCCCUUUUUUUUUAUUUUCGUUUCUUCCCUCGCCAUGCAGGACGUGCACGGUGCACGCCUGCAGGCGAGGUGAAGCUGCUAAGGUGGGCUGGGCCCGAGCCCAGCCCAUGCAUUUGGGCCAGGUUCGGCCCAGCCCACUGAAAUGGGCCGGGUCCGGCCCAUUUCAAUCCAUUUCAAUUUUUUUUUUAUAGAAUUUUUACAAUUUUUCCAGCACAUGUUUUUAUCAAUUUUGCUUAAUAUCGGUCUGUAUUUUACAUCGUAAAAAUAUAAAUUCGGUAUUAAAAUACCCGGUUUUCGUCCCGCGGUACUGUUCAUACGGUACUGUUCACACAUGCAAAAAAAAAUCAAAAAUAUUUGUUUCAGCAUUUUAUAAUUUUUCCGCGUAGUUUUUAUGUCAUUUUGAUUAAUAUCGGGCAGUAUUUUACAUCGUAAAAAUAUAAAUCCGGUAUUAAAAUACCCGUUUUCGGCAAAAACUUCCAAAAAUAAAAAAAAAAUUGAAAAAAAGAUAAAAAAAAUGUUUUUGUGCAUACGGCCAAGUGUCUCAAAUCUAAAAAAUCAUAUCGUAUUUUCAUAUGUCAAAAAAAAUAUUUUAGCAUGCAUUUUGGCUUUAAUAACCAGUUUAUUAAAGUCAAGAGAACAUUGGCCAAAAUCUCAAAAACAACAAAAUAUUUUAUUUUGUUUGAUUUUAGUAUCAGAUUAUGAAUUUAUACGUAAAUCGUAUUCCUGAUAUUAAAAAGAUAUUUUCUUUUGACGACUUCGAAUAGUUAGUUUUUUACCCGAUAAAGAUAAGGAUCUCCUUACAGAGGAGGACUUUUCUUAAACCGUAAACGAACCAACAAUUCAAAAACCACAACACGAUUUUAGAUUUUAUCAGACAUUAAAACAAUGCAGCCUACCUUAGGUAGGGCGUAGUUGGGCUGCUAAUACCUUCCCUUUACGCAACCAGUCUCCGUACCCGAUCUCUAAAGACCAGUUAAGGUUCCUAGUAACCAGAAUACUAGGUGGCGACUCCCAGUCCAUAUUUUCACUUGUAGAGACAAGAAUUCCUUGUCUCUCCUUAUUUUCAAGGAAUAAAUAUUCCGAUUUUUCCUUGAGGGUGGACGAUCGCCGCGCCGCCGCACACGUGCGACAUCACCUAUAUUAAAAAGGAAAAGAUGUCUUAAAAAAAAAUUCAAUUGUUCUUCGUAUUUUUUUCUCUAAGCCUACAAUAUAUAUAUAUAUAUAUAUAUAUAUAUAUAUAUAUAAUCAUCAUUUUUGGACCAACUUGGACAGGUGGGCAUAUUGAGACUAAGUUUAUAUCUUUGUAGUUUGUAUGUUGACAUACAAAGGAUAAGUUAAUUAUCCAAUAAACUAAAAGGAAAAUGAUGAUUUUAUAUUUAAGUUUAGAAUUUUGGCUAUUGUAGCAAGUGGUGUAAUGUAAUGGUGCAACAAUUGUAAAUUUACUUUUUUUUUUUUUUUUUUAGGAAACAAGUUUUUUUUUUAGAAUUAUUUUCUGUUUAUAUUUGAUAUAUAUUUUUUUAUCAUUUUACACUUGGCUCGGUUUUUUUCUUGUCUUUUUUUUUGUAUUGUGUUUUUAGUUUUUUUUUUCCUUACACAUUUUUUUGGAGUAAAAUAUUACUUUUUAUAAUUUAUACUUGACCUAUUUUUACUAUUUUUUUUUAUCUUUAUUCUUAUUCUUUUAUAUUUUUUUAUAUUUAUAUAAUUUUAUUUUUAAUUGUAGAAAACUAGUUUAUUUAAAAUUUAUUUUUUGUUUAUAUUUGAUAUUUUUUUAUCAAAUAUAAAUUCGAAACGAUAAUGAUUGAUACAAUCUCUCGUGUCAUCAAAAAAUAGGUAUCUCUUAACAUCUGUUAUCUAAACAAAAGUAAGAGUUGAUUACACUUAUAUUACAAGGAAAAUGAUGACUUAAAAAAAUGUUCAAUUAUUCUUUGGAUUUUCUUUUUUUUAGCCUACAAAAUCUCCCUGGUAGUAUAUAUAUAUAAAAUCAUCAUUUUUGGACCAACUUGGACAGGUGGACAUAUUGAGACUAAGUCUAUAUCUUUGUAGUUUGUACGCUGCCAUACAAAAGAUAAGUUAAUUAUACAAUAAACUAAAAUGAAUAUGAUGAUUUUAUAUUUAAGUUUAGAAUUUUUGCUAUUGUAGCAAGCGGUGUAAUGUAAUGGUGGAACAAUUGUAUAUUUACAUUUUUUUUUCUUUUCUUUUUUUGAAAACAAGUUUUUUUAAAAAAUUAUUUUCUGUUUAUAUUUGAUAUUUUUAUUUAUUUAUUUAUCAUUUUACACUUGGCUUGGUUUUUUUCUUGUCUUUAAUGUUUUUUAUUUUUUGUAAUGUAUUUUUAGUUUUUUUUUCUUUACACAUUGUUUUGGAGUAAAAUAUUACUUUUUAUUAUUUGUACUUGACCUAUUUAUACUAUUUUUGUUUUGUUUUUAUCUUUAUUCUUUUAUAUAUUUUUAUCUUUAUACUUUUAUUUGAAAAAUUAUUAGAGACUAAGAAAAUAGAUGACAUGAUUCUCUUAAUCAAGAAAUGUAAACAAGUUAGUUGAGCAAAAAAAAAAUAUAUAUGAAUCGAUAUAAUGAUAAAAAAGUUGCUAAUGGUAAUGGUAAUGAAAUUCUAAAAUAAAAAGAUAAUCAUUAUCAUAAAAGUAAAAGAUAGAUAAGUAUAAUUUUUUAAUUCAACUUUCCCCAUUGUUUUGGCUACUGAAUGUGUACUUACCAUCCAGGUUGAGACAUGGCAUAAAGGAGGCCCAGGACCCCAGCACCAACCAUGGCUGUAACAUCGUGAAAGGCAGAAUACCACCACUUUGCAUUCCUCGACUGGGUGAUGGGAAGCCAGUCAUUCAGGUCUUUCUUCGCGUCGUUGGUGGUUGACAAAUCCUUCACCGCCUGCGUUUGAUCCAUUUUUGUUAUUCUAUAAAAUUAAUGUUAAUUUGAAUAGCAACAAGCUAUCUAAGAAGUUAUAACUAUUCAAGAGUUGAUUAUAGAUUUUGAUAUCACCUAGUUAGAUAUUGUACUGUGAAGUGUAUAUAUAUACCUAAAAAUAAAAGUUUGGUUCCUUUUCAAACUCAAAUUUGUUUUGACUAGGUUAUCCACUAACAAGAUUUUUAAAUUAUAGAUAAUGCUUAAUACCAAUUCAUAUAUAUAUAUAUAAAUAUAAACAAGUGUUCUUUUCAUUUUAAAACUCAAAUUAGUUUUGACUAAGUUAUCUACUAAAAAUAUUUAAAAUAUUGAUAAUGUUCAAUAAAAGUUGAAUUAUCUAUAUGAUAUUAUAGGAUUUUUUUUUCUUCUAAGCUAAUAAAAUCCCCUUGAAGAUUCUAACAAAAAAACCAACAGAUAAAUAAUAAUAAUAUAUAAAAACAUUAUUUAGUGAUCAACAAAGAAAACAUAACCCCGCCCGAUCAGUCUUGGCUCCGCAUUUAUCUGUUGGUUUCUUUUAAAUGACGGGUUUGGGUAUGGAAUUUAGACUCAUCAGCUCUCGAUUUGGUUUUUCAACAAGCUGGGCUAGGGUUCUUAAAUUUAAUAUAUAUAUGUGUGAGUGUGUGUAUUAAACAACUCCUAGUAAUUGAGAAAAGUGUUUUUGUUUCUUUGUAGAAAAGUUUUGAAUUUUGUUUAUGAAUUUUGAUAUAAGAAUGUUAGAAAUAAUUUUUAAAAUCUAAAAAAUAUUAUUUUAAUACAGUUUUUAAUAAAAAAACAUUUUAAAAAAUUAUAGCUGUUAUAAUAUUUUAAAAAAAUACACAAAUUAUGGAUAUUAUAUUGUGAAGUGUAUAUACAAACCUAAAAAUAAGAGUUUAGUUCCUUUUAAAACUCAAAUUUAUUUUGAUCAAGUUAUUCACUAACAAGAUUUUUAAAUUAUAAAUAAUGUUUAAUAGCAGUCCAAUUACACACACACACACGUGAUAUUAUAGGAUUUGUUUUCUUCUAAGCCAAUAAAAUCUCCAUGGGAGCUUCUAACAAAGUUUAUAUACCAAGACUCAUGAUCAGUGGGAAGGUACUAUAAUACCAAUACAAGCUCUUAACAAAGUAGUAGUUACCUGCGCAAAACAUACCUCGUAACUUCCGAUGACAUGAAUGACAACAGACAAAUUAGCAGCCGCAUCAAGAUUUUUUUUUUCUUUACACAUUUUUUUGGGAAAAAAUAUUACUUGGACUAGGAAAAUACACACACACACACACACACACACACACACACACAUAUAUAUAUAUUUUAGAGAUAAUUUUUUAACAAACUUGAACAGUGGACAUGUUGGGACUAAAUCUAUGUCUUUAUAAUUUGUAUGUUGCCAUACAAAAAAUAAGUUCAUUAUACAAUAAAUUAAAACGAAAAUGAUGAUUUUAUAAUUAAGUUUAGAAUUUUGGCUAUUGUAGCAAGUGGUGUACUAGGCAUCUCUUAACAUCUGUUAUCUAAACAAAAGUAAGAGUUGAUUACACCUAUAUUACAAGGAAAAUGAUGACUUAAAAAAAUGUUCAAUUAUUCUUUGGAUUUUCUUUUUUUUUUAGCCUACAAAAUCUCCCUGGUUGUUUCUAACAAAGUUUGAUAUCUUGAAAGCACUCCUACACUAUAUAUAUAUAUAUAUAUAUAUAAUCAUCAUUUUUGGACCAACUUGGACAGGUGGACAUAUUGAGACUAAGUUUAUAUCUUUGUAGUUUGUACGCUGCAAUACAAAAAAUAAGUUAAUUAUACAAUAAACUAAAAUGAAAAUGAUGAUUUUAUAUUUAAGUUUAGAAUUUUGGCUAUUGUAGCAAGCGGUGUAAUGUAAUGGUGGAACAAUUGUAUAUUUAUUUAUUUUUCUUUUCUUUUUUUGAAAAAACGUUUUUUUUUAAAUUAUUUUUUGUUUAUAUUUGAUAUUUUAUUUAUUUAUUUAUCAUUUUACACUUGGCUUGGUUUUUUUCUUGUCUUUAAUUUUUUUUUAUUUUUUGUAAUGUAUUUUUAGUUUUUUUUUCUUUACACAUUUUUUUGGAGUAAAAUAUUACUUUUUAUUAUUUAUACUUGAUCUAUUUAUACUAUUUUUGUUUUGUUUUUAUCUUUAUUCUUUUAUAUAUUUUUAUCUUUAUACUUUUAUUUGAAAAAUUAUUAGAAACUAAGAAAAUAGAUGGCAUGAUUCUCUUAAUCAAGAAAUCUAAAGAAGUUAGUCGAGGAAAAAAAAAUAUAUGAAUCGAUAUAAUGAUAAAAAGCUGCUAAUGGUAAUGGUAAUGAAAUUCUAAAAUAAAAAGAUAAUCAUUAUCAUAAAAGUAAAAGAUAGAUAAGUAUAAUUUUUUAAUUCAACUUUCCCCAUUGUUUUGGCUACUGAAUGCGUACUUACCAUCUAACUUGAGACAUGGCAUAAGGGAGGCCCAGAACCCCAGCACCAACCAUGGAUGUAACAUUGUGAAAGACAGAAUACCACCACUUUGCAUUCCUCGACUGGGUGAUGGGAAGCCAGUCAUUCAGGUCUUUCUUCGCGUCGUUGGUGGUUGACAAAUCCUUCACCGGCUGCGUUUGAUCCAUUUUUGUUAUUCUAUAAAAUUAAUGUUAAUCUGAAUAGCAACAAGCUAUCUAAGAAGUUAUAACUAUUCAAGAGUUUAUUAUAGAUUUCGAUAUCACCUAGUUAGAUAUUGUACUGUGAAGUGUAUAUAUAUACCUAAAAAUAAAAGUUUGGUUCCUUUUCAAACUCAAAUUUGUUUUGACUAGGUUAUCCAGUAACAAGAUUUUUAAAUUAUAGAUAGUGCUUAAUACCAAUUCAAUUAUAUAUAUAUAUAUAUAUGUGUAUAUAUAAACAAGUGUUCUUUUCAUUUUAAAACUCAAAUUAGUUUUGACUAAGUUAUGUACUAAAAAUAUUUAAAAUAUUGAUAAUGUUCAAUAAAAGUUGAAUUAUCUAUAUGAUAUUAUAGGAUUUUUUUUUUCUUCUAAGCUAAUAAAAUAUCCUUCAAGAUUCUAACAAAGAAACCAACGGAUAAAUAAUAAUAAUAUAUAAAAAAAUUAUUUUGUGAUCAACAAAGAAAACAUAACCCCGCCCGAUCAGUCUUGGCUCUGCAUUUAUCUGUUGGUUUCUUUUAAAUGACGGGUCUGGGUAUGGACUUUAGACUCAUCAGCUCUCGAUUUGGUUUUUCAACGAGCUGGGCUAGGGUUCUUGAGUUUAUAAUAUAUAUAUAUAUGUGUGUGUGUGUGUGUGUGUGUGUGUGUGUGUGUUAAACAACUCCUAGUAAUUGAGAAAAGUGAUUUUGUUUCUUUGUAGAAAAGUUUUGAAUUUUUUUUAUGAAUUUUGAUAUAAGAAUGUUAGAAAUAAUUUUUAAAAUCUAAAAAAUAUUAUUUUAAUAUAUAUUUUUAAUAAAAAAUGUUUAAAAAAAUUAUAGUUGUUAUAAUAUUUAAAACAAAAUACACAAAUUAAAGAUAUUAUAUUGUGAAGUGUAUAUACAAACCUAAAAAUAAGAGUUUAGUUCCUUUUAAAACUCAAAUUUGUUUUGAUCAAGUUAUUCACUAACAAAAUUUUUAAAUUAUAAAUAAUGUUUAAUAGCAGUCCAAUUACACACACACACGUGAUAUUAUAGGAUUUGUUUUCUUCUAAGCCAAUAAAAUCUCCAUGGGAGCUUCUAACAUAGUUUAUAUACCAAGACUCAUGAUCAGUGGGAAGGUACUAUAAUACCAAUACAAGCUCUUAACGAAGUUAGUAGUUACCUGCACAAAGCAUACCUUGUAACUUUCGAUAACAUUAAUGACAACAGACAAAUUAGCGGCCGCAACAAGAUUUUUUUUUUCUUUACACAAUUUUUUAGGAAAAAUUAUUACUUGGACAAGGAAAAUAUAUAUAUAUAUAUAUAUAUUGUAGAGAUAAUUUUUGAACCAACUUGAACAGUGGACAUGUUGGGACUAAAUCUAUGUCUUUAUAAUUUGUAUGUUGCCAUAUAAAAAAUAAGUUAAUUAUACAAUAAAUUAAAAGGAAAAUGAUGAUUUUAUAAUUAAGUUUAGAAUUUUGGCUAUUGUAGGAAGUGGUAUAAUGUAAUGGUGGAACAAUUGUAUUUGUUUUUUUUUUUUUGUAGACAACAAGUUUUCUUUAGAAUUAUUUUAUGUUUAUAUUUGAUAUUUGUAUUAUUUUUUUUAUCAUUUUACACUAGGCUUGUUUUUUUUUCUUGUUUUUUUUUUUUGUAAUGUAUUUUUAGUUUUUUUUUCUUUACACAUUUUUUUGGAGUAAAAUAUUACUUUUUAUUAUUUAUACUAUUUUUUUGUUUUUAUCUUUAUUCUUUUAUAUAUUUAUACAAUUGUAUUUUUUUAUUGUAGAAAACUAGUUUAUUUAAAAUUUAUCUUUUGUUUAUAUUUGAUAUUUUUUAUCAAAUAUAAAUUUGAAACAAUAAUGAUUGAUACAAUCUCUCAUGUUAUUGAAAAAUAGACAUCUCUUAACCUUUGUUAUCUAAACAAAAGUAAAAGUUGGUUACACCUAUAUUAAAAAGGAAAAGAUGUCUUAAAAAAAAUUCAAUUGUUCUUCGUAUUUUUUUCUUUAAGCCUACAAUAUAUAUAUAUAAUCAUCAUUUUUGGACCAACUUGGACAGGUGGGCAUAUUGGGACAAAGUCUAUGUCUUUAUAGUUUGUACAUUGCCAUACAAAAUAUAAGUUAAUUAUACAAUAAACUAAAAGAAAAAUGAUGAUUUUAUAUUUAAGUUUAGAAUUUUGGAUAUUGUAGCAAGCACUGUAAUGUAAUGGUGGAACAACUAUAUAUUUACUCUUUUUUUUUUUUAGAAAACAAGUUUUUUUUUUAGAAUUAUUUUCUGUUUAUAUUUGAUAUUUGUUUUUUUUUUUAUCAUUUUACACUUGGCUCGGUUUUUUUCUUGUCUUUUUUUUUUUGUAAUGUAUUUUUAGUUUUUUUUUCUUUACACAUUUUUUUGGAGUAAAAUAUUACUUUUUAUUAUUUAUACUUGACAUAUUUAUACUAUUUUUUUUGUUUUUAUCUUUAUUCUUAUUCUUUUAUAUAUUUUUAUAUAUUUAUACAAUUGUAUUUUUUAUUGUAGAAAACUAGUUUAUUUAAAAUUUAUUUUUUGUUUAUAUUUGAUAUUUUUUAUCAAAUAUAAAUUCGAAACGAUAAUUAUUGAUACAAUCUCUCGUGUCAUCAAAAAAUAAGCAUCUGUAAACCUUUGUUAUCUAAACAAAAGUAAGAGUUGGUUACACCUAUAUUACAAGGAAAAAAAUGAAUUAAAAAAAUAUUCAAUUAUUCUUUGGAUUUUCUUUUUUUUUUAGCCUACAAAAUCUCCCUGGUAGUUUCUAACAAAGUUUGAUAUCUUGAAAACACUCAUACUCUUUAUAUAUAUAUAAUCAUCAUUUUUGAACCAACUUGGACAGUGGACAUAUUGGGACUAAGUCUAUGUCUUUGUAGUUUGUACGCUGCCAUACAAAAGAUAAGUUAAUUAUAAAAUAAACUAAAAGGAAAAUGAUGACUUUAUAUUUAAGUUUAGAAUUUUAGCUAUUGUAGCAAGCGGUGUAAUGUAAUGGUGGAACAAUUGUAUAUUUACUCUUUUUUUUUAGAAAACAAGUUUUUUUUAGAAUUAUUUUCUGUUUAUAUUUGAUAUUUUAUUUAUUUAUUUAUCAUUUUACACUUGCUUGGUUUUUUUCUUGUCUUUAAUUUUUUUUUAUUUUUUGUAAUGUAUUUUUAGUUUUUUUUCUUUACAUAUUUUUUUGGAGUAAAAUAUUACUUUUUAUUAUUUAUACUUGACCUAUUUAUACUAUUUUUUUUGUUUUUAUCUUUAUUCUUUUUUAUAUUUUUAUCUUUAUACUUUUAUUUGAAAAAUUAUUAGAGACUAAGAAAAUAGAUGGCAUGAUUCUCUUAAUCAAGAAAUGUAAAGAAGUUAGUUAAACAAAAAAAAUAAAAUACAUGAAUUGAUAUAACGAUAAAAAGCUGCUAAUGGUAAUGGUAAUGAAAUUCUAAAAUAAAAAGAUAAUCAUUAUUAUAAAAGUAAAAGAUAGAUAAGUAUAAUUUUUUAAUUCAACUUUCCCCUUUGAUGCACACAAUUUUUUAUAUCUUAAAAGUCAUUGUUUCUUACCAAUAAAUAAUUUUUAUUUUCAAGAAUAAAGUAUAUUUAUAUAAAACAUAAAAAAAAAAUUAUAGAUGAAUUAGAAUAAUAUCUUCAAAAUAUGAAAUACAUAUAAAAUAGUUUUAAAAACAACCAGAAAAGAUACUAAUUUAAAUAUAAAUUAAAAACAUUAUUUUAAAAGAUACAUAUUAAGAAAAAAUAUCAAUUAAAAAAAUAAAUUUGAAAAAAAAAACCAUGCGCUACCAAUCUUGCAAGUUAGGUUCGCUCACCUCAUCCAUUUUAAAAAGAAGCGGAUGACAUGUCAUUUGUCCCAUUAACAAAGAACAAAAAAUAAAAGCCUACAUGUACGGACCUACAAAUAUAGAGUAGUAAAUAUUCCAAGUGUCAAGAAUAAGAAAUAAUAAUAUUUUUUCAAAAAGAAGUUUAAAGAGAAAAAAUGGGGAAAUUAAAAAAAACAAUUACAAAAAAAUAAAGAUAAGAACAAAAAGAAUAGUGAUAAAUAUAUCAAGUGUAAGGAAAUAAAAUGUAUAUUAAGGUUAAGUUGAACAACAACAAACUAUCUACGACGUUGUAACUAUUUGAGAGGGGAUUACGAGUAUGGAUUGCAACUAGAUAGAUAUUUUAAUGUGAAAUGUAUAUCUACAUCUAAAAACAAGAGUUUGUUUCCUUUUGAAACUGAAAUUUGCUUUGACUAAAUUAUCUACUAAAAAGAUUUAAAUUAUAGAUAAUGUUCAGUAGCACUUCAAUUAUCUGUCUAUAUGCAUAUAUAUACCCACUAUGACACAAUAUUAUAGGGUUAUUUCUAUUCUUUUCUAAGCUUGUAAAAUCUCCCAAAGUGGGAGUUUCAAACAAAGUUUGAUACUUGAAAACAUUUCUAAUUUGUUCUCUCUUUUUUAUAGUAGAGAUGGCUUUGGACCAACUUGGGCUUGUGGGCAUAUGGUAGACAUGAUUUUUGGACCAACUUGGGCAAGUGGGCAUAGCAGGACUAAGUCUAUGUCUUUGUAGCAUGUACGUCGCCAUACAAAAGAUAAGUUAAUUAUACAAAAAACUAAAAUAAAAAUGGUGAUUUUAUAAUUAUGUUUAAUUUUGGCUAUUGUAGCAAGUGGUGUACUGUAGUGGUGGAACAAUUAUAUAUAAUUGUUUUUUGGUAGAAAACAAGUUCUUUUUAGAUUUAUUUUUAUGUUUAUAUUUGAUAUUUUUUAAAAAAAAUAUAUAAAUUCAAAACGAUAAUCAUUUAUACAAUCUCUCAUGUCAUUGAAUAAAAAGGCAUCUCUUAACUUUUGUUAUCUAAACAAAAGAAAGUGUUGCUUACACCUAUAUUACAAGGAAAAAAAUGACUUAAAAAAUGUUCAAUAGUUCUUCUAUAUGAUUUUUUUUCUAAGCCUAUAAAAUCUCCUUACUAGCUUCUAAUGAAGUUUGAUAUCUUGAAAACAUUCAUACUCUUUGUGUGUGUGUGUGUGUGUGUGUGUGUGUAUAUAUAUGGUAGAGAUGAUUUUUGGACCAACUUGGGCUGGUUGGCAUAUUGGGACUCAAUCUAAGUCUUUGUAGUUUGCACGUGCCAUACAAAAAAAUAAGUUAAUUAUACAAUAAAUUAAAAGGAAAAUGGUGAUUUUAUAAUUAUAUUUAGAAUUUUGGCUAUAAUAGCAAGUGGUGUACUAUAGCGGUGGAACAAUUGUAUAUUUCCUCCUCUCUUUUUUUUUUUGUAGAAAAUAUGUUUUUUUUCGAUUUAUUUUCUAUUUGUAUAUGAUAUUUUUUAUCAUUUUACAUUUGGCUAAUUUUUUUUUCUUGUCUUUAUUUUUAUUUUAUAUAUGUAAUGUAUUUUUAGUUUUUUUUUCUUUACAUAUUUUUUUGGAAAAAUUAUUACUUUUUAUUAUUUGUACUAGACAUAUUUAUACUAUUUUUUUAUCUUUAUUCUUUUAUAUAUUUUUUAUUUAUACUUUUUAUUUGAAAAAUUAUUACAGAAUAAGAAAAUAGAUGGCGGGAUUCUCUUAAUCAAUAAAUGUAAAGAUGUUAUUUAAGCAAAAAAAAUAAAAAUAUAUGAAUCGAUAAACACUAAUAAAGAGAUGCUAAUGGUAAUGAAAUUCUAAAAUAAAAGUAAAAUCAUUAUCAUAGAAGUAAAAGAUAGAUAAGUAUAAUUUUUUAAUUCAACUUUGCCCUUUGAUGCACACAAUUGUUUUUAUCUUAAAUGUCAUUAUUUCUUACCGAGAAUAAAUAAUUUUUAUUUUCAAGAAUAAAGUAUAUUUAUAUAAAACAUAAAAAAAAUUAUAGAUGAAUUAGAAUAAUAUCUUCAAAAUAUAAAAUACAUAUAAAAUAGUUUUAAAACAACCAAAAAGAUAUUAAUUUAAAUAUAAAUUAAAAAAAAUUAUUUUAAAAGAUACAUAUUAAGAAAAAAUAUCAAUUAAAAAAAUAAGUCAGGCGCUACCAGUCUGACAACUUAGGUUCGCGCACCUGAUCCAUUUUAAAAAUGAGCGGAUGACAUAUCAUUUGUCCCAUUAACAAAGAAAAAAAAAAGCCUACACGUACAGACCUCAAGUAUAGAGUAGUAAAUAUUCCAAGUGUCAAGAAUAAGAAAUAAUAAUCUUUUUUCCAAAAAGAAGUUUAAAGAGAAAAAAUAGGAAACUUACAAAAACAAAUUACAAAAAAUUAAAGAUAAAAACAAAAAGAAUGGUGAUAAAUAGAUUAAGUGUAAAGUGAUAAAUAUAUCAAGUGUAAAGUAAAAAAUAUAUAUUAAGGUUAAUUUGAAUAACAACAAACUAUCUAUGAGAUUGUAACUAUGCGACAGUGGAUUAAGGGUGUGGAUAGCAGCUAGUUAGAUGCUAUAAUGUGAAAUGUAUAUAUGCAUCUAAAAACAAGAGUUUGUUUCGUUUUGAAACUAAAAUUUUCUUUAACUAAGUCAUUCACUAAAAAGAUUUAAAUUAUGGUAGAGAUGACUUUGGAUCACCUUGGGCUGAUGGGCAUAUUGGUUUUCCGCAAAAAAAAUUUAAAUUACAAUUUUUUCAUAUUCAAGUAGUGUAGUGGAAAAAAAAACCGUAGAAAAUUAUAAAUUUAUCCAUGCUACAACAUUGCUACAAUAAAAAAAAUUAAAAAAAAUAAAUAUUGAAUUUUGCUACUGCUAGUGUCACGACCCGAAUCCCGGAUCCGUGACCGGCAACGUAGGGGCGGUGUCGAAAGGACACCUCACCUACGCUAAGCCUCAAAACAAACAUAUCAAAAGAACAAUUUGUUCAAAAAUACGCAGCGGCUCAUAAUAUUCAGAAAUAUUAUAUUAUUCAAAUACUGAUGAAACCGAAAGAUAGUUAUUAAAACAAAAAUAAUAAUUCAUAAUACUCAUUACAUUGUCAAAAUCCAAAUUAAUUAAAACAAGGUAACAGUGGAGCGUCUAAGACAUCAAAUCAAAACUGAAAGGAAAGCCUCGCGAACAAGCAAGGCAUACCGACCAGAACUGAAGAAGCGGAAACACUCAACAAAGUCUCAGAAACUAAGAACCUGAAAUAAUAUUAAAAAUGAGGGUGAGUUCAACCAACUCAGUGAGGGAAUAAUAUUUAAUAUACAUUUCAUAUAUUUCAGAUAUUAUUUGCAAGAUGAUUUAUCUUGAUAUACAUAUACAUAUACAUAUACAUAUACUUACUAAACAUAUUAUCAUAACGUAGCAUAUUAUCAUAACGUAGUGGAUUACAUGUCAGAGAUCAGAUGACACCCGAAGGUGACCAGAUGACACCCGUCGGUGACCAGAUGACACCCGUCGGUGACCACUGUGGGAUGAUCAAUCGCCACAGGCUGAUGCCUCUCUCACCAGCUAGGUAACAGAAUACUAUGUGCACACAGGCUAACUAUUCUCCGUUAGCAUGGAGUUACUGACAAGUCCCAUAUCAAGGCAUAAUAGAUAUUCACAUAAUCAUCAAAGAAACGUAUAUCAUAUCAAAUAGAAUUUACUUUAUCAGAUUGCGAGUGCAAAUUCAAGAAUAAAUGAGUACUCGGAAAAUAAAGCAACAUAUAUAAAUAUUCAAGAAAUUUACUAGUUGUACUCAUUGUAUAAUCAACAUACAUAUUUAUUUAUAUUAUAUGCAUAUUAAAGAUUAUUCCACUCACCCGGAAAAUACUGAACUAAAGGAAUGUCAGGCAAAAGACCCGAAAAUCCGAUUAAGGAUCGUUAGGAGAACCUACAAUAAAUAUAUGAAAUAUACUCAAAAACAAAUCAAACAAAAGAUCCCAAUGCAUAAAAUAAAGGGCUUAAUCUCCCAAGUUUAGGGACUAAAACGACAAUUUUCCAAAACAGGGACCAAAACGUAAUUUUACCAAAUUUGAGGACCGAAUUGUAAAUAUAUAACCAUACUGAAAUUAUCCAUAAUUCGUCCUUAUCUUUGUCCAGAAUCUUGAAUUAUGCCCCAAGGUCCAAAAUGUGAUUUUAUCAAAAAUUUAGGGUCAAAUCGUAAUUUGUCAAAUUGGAGGACCAAACUGAAAAUAUUAAUUAUACUGGAAUUUUGUCCUUAAAUCAUCCUCAGUUCUGUUCAGAACCUCAAUUUAUGCCCCAGGGACCAAUCUGUAAAAUUUCCAAAGUUCGGGGACUAAACUGCAAUUUCCAAAUUGAGGGACCAAACUGAAUUUUCGUCAUCUUCAACCUCAAACCCAGAAUUUCAACAGAUCACCUACUGUUAUUCCAGAUUUAACCUCAAUUCACAUUCAAUUCAACCAUAACUCAAAAUCAUCAUAUUUCUUCAAUCUCUCAAAAUCAACUAAUAAUCAAAUACCCACAAUCAAUCAACCCUUAAUUCAAACUAAUUCAUCAAUAAACUCAAAAUUCAAAACUCUAAAAUUAAUCAAAAACCGAAAUUUAAAGCUAAAGAAAACAUAUUAUACAUAUUCAAGCAUAAUUCUUACCCUUUUACUUGUUUCCUCUACUUCUCUUCUCCUUCCUUUCCUUCUCUCCUUUCUUUUCUUCUUCUUCCUCUUUUCUUCUCUUCUCCCGUAACUCUCUUUCUCUCAAAAUCAGAUCAUUCUUUUUUUUUUCUUAUAUAUAUUUAUCAACUAUUGGUCAAUUACCACAAUACCCUUCAAUCAUUUACCCUCUCUUUAAGCCUUCAAGGGCUUUAUUGUAUUUUCUCAUUCCUUUUUAUUACAAAACAUCACAGCUAGAGUAAAACAAAUUGAGAAAAAAAAUACAAAAUUACCAUUUCUAUAUUGAUUUACCAUUUUCAUUUAGUUUAUUAUAUAAUAAUUGGCAUACAAAAGAUAAGUUAAUUGCUACUAUGUGAUAAUACAAUUUUCAUUAAGAGGACUUGCUUGUUAAUUUAUCACUCUUACUAGAGAGUUUAGGUGUCCAAAGAUUUCUUUCAUGUCUCCCAAGAUCAAGAUGACUUUGAAUCAAUUAUUCUAAAACGCUUAACAAUAGAAAAAUACAAAUAAAAUGUUGUUCACAUUGCAUAUAUAUAUAAAGGAACUUACUUUCAUGAUUAAAUAAAAUUUCUCACGAGUACUUUAAUUACAUAGACAAGCAUAAGUAAUUUAUCUACAAUCUAUCAACUUAGAAAUUAUUAACAAAAUAAUAAAAAGUAAGGCUAAAUUAUUGUAAGAACACUUAUAAAACAUUACUUACUGAAAUAAUGUUGAGUUUUUUAUUAUUAUUAUUUUCAUUACUUACUGAAAUUAACAGGAACAUACCCAAUUGGCGAGCCAUGACAAGCUGAAUUUCUUUGGUUUAUAUACAGCAAGCCACAUGACGCAGGGGAGCUGCAAAGAGAUUGCAUAUUGUUUAUUGAAGCAAUUAGACAGAUAAGCAUAGAUAUGUAUAACAUGGUGCCUUACAUAAUAUGAGGUGGGAGCAAAGGCAAAUCCUCCAAAGAAACUUAGAAGCCCCCCAAAAAAUGGGAAUGUCAUUGCGAUGAACAUGGUCAAUCCUGCAUCAAAUUAACACGAAAUUAAGUUAAUCAUCUCCCUUUGUCAAAAGAACACUCCUUUCACUGCACAAAAAUCAGUAAUCAAUGGAAGUUUUUGUGGAGAUUUGUCCUCACCAACAUAUAGAAUUCGUGUUAUGAAGCGAAGCGGCUGACCCGGUUGGAACUUCAUUUUCAACACCAGGAAUGCUUCCAUCAUAUCAAACACCGGCAUUGCAAAAACCUGUAUUAAAGAAACAAAAACAUGCAAUAGAUCUAUCUUCGGAAUAGUUUUGGAAUGAAUUUAUGACAUGUAGCCUCACUGAUUAAUCUCUAAAAAAGAAAAAGGAAAAGGAGUAAGAUUGUUUAGGCAUACCUGAUAACUUCCGAUGACAUGAAUGACAACAAACAAAUUAGCGGCGGCAACAAGCCAACGAGGCUUCUCCAGUGAUAAGAGGAUGUUGUCCUCAACUUUGUUUCCGAACACCCAGUAACCUAUGAAACUAACAGGUAAGUAACACAAAGCGACAACAAGAUAAGCAACAACCACUCCUCUCCACAUUGGUUUCUUGGAAGGCUUCCCGGGCGUGGAAGGGAUUGUUGCCUGGAUCUCCAACACCACACUGUGCCCUGCGAAGGCAAACGCUAUAUCUCCUAGAGCACUGAAGCUGUCGAACAUCUGCCCAGUAUUUGUUGAAGCCCUUGAGGUGUACUGCACAUCUGGUUGAACCCCUUUCUGCCAUGAAACCACCCACGCAAUUGUCGAGUAACUACACGGAACAUGAUUGAUCUUAGAGCCGCAUUCAAGGAGUUUGUGCUAGUGACUGCAAUAUAGAAAUGACAGCAGAUCUAUCUUACCUCAAGGACAUGACGGCGGCGACAAGAGAGACAGCGGUGAUGGAAUUGAAACUGGGGAGAUGAGAGAUGACGAAGUGAACCGAGGAAAAGAUCAUAAUGAAAUAGGUAAGUUUGAUUUCUUUGUAGUCAGGCCAGAUAGUAUCAUGAGCCUUCUUCAGAGAUUUCCCUCCAGUAAUCAUGUACACUAUACUCGAACCAACUUCCACCAUUAGUUGCUGGGGAACCACCACCCAAAGCCCGAGUUUUUCACCGAAUGCAUGCUGCCUUAGCUCAUGAUACCUAUCAAAUCUCUUUCCAGGCACCAUUUAAUGCAUCUCCACCAUCUGCCACAGUGUAUAUAGAGUGAUAACCCAUGACAGGAUCAAUACAGCAGCACCGGGACCCCUAAAACAAAAUCGAGAACAUGAUUUAGCCAUUGAGAUCGAUCACAUUAAGUAAUCAACACUGCUGUUGCCAUGGUUAAUUAUAAAUUCCAGCCUCUAAAAUAAUGAUACUUCAGCCAUUGGUUUGGAUACUGAAUGCUUACUUACCAUCCAAGUUGAGACAUGGCAUAAGGGAGGCCCACGACCCCAGCACCAACCAUGGCUGUAACAUUGUGAAAGGCAGAAUACCACCACUUUGCAUUCCUCGACUGCGUGAUGGGAAGCCAGUCAUUCAGGUCUUUCUUCGCGUCAUCAGUGCUUGACAUAUCCUUCACCGGCUGCAUUUGAUCCACUUUUAUUAUUUUAAAAAAUUAAUGUUAAUCUGAAUAUCAACAAACUAUCUAAGAUGUUAUAAUUGUUCAAGAGUUGAUUAUAGAUUUUUAGUUAUUGUAUUGUGAAGUAUAUAUAUAUAUAUAUAUAUAUAUCUAAAAACAAGAGUUUGUUUCCUUUUGAAACUCAAAUUUGUUUUGACUAAGUUAUCUACUAACAAGAUUUUUAAAUUAUAGAUAAUGCUUAAUAGCAAUUCAAUUUUAUAUAUAUAUAUAUAUAUCUAAAAACAAGUGUUUGUUUCCUUUUAAAACUCAAAUUUAUUUUGACUAAGUUAUCUACUAAAAAUAUUUAAAAUAUUGAUAAUGUUCAAUAAAAGUUGAAUUAUCUAUAUAAUAUUAUAGGAUUUUUUUUUUCUAAGCUAAUAAAAUCUCCCUGAAGAUUCUAACAAAGAAACCAACAGAUAAAUAAUAAUAAUAAUAAUAAUAAAUUAUUUUGUGGUCAACAAAGAAAAUAAAACCUUGCCCGAUCAGUCUUGGCUCUGCAUUUAUCUGUUGAUUUCUUUUAAAUAAUGGGUCUGGAUAAGGACUUUAGACUCAUCAGCUCUCGGUCUGGUUUUUCAACGAGUUGGACUAGGGUUCUUGAGUUUAAUAUAUAUAUAUAGACACACACAUUAAACAAGUCCCCGUAACUAAGAAAAAUGUUUUUGUUUCUGUGUAGAAAAUUAUUGAAUUUUUUUUUAUGAAUUUUGAUAUAAGAAUGUUAGAAAUAAUUUUUUAAAUAUAAAAAAAAAUAUUUUAAUAUAUUUUUUAAUAAAAAAACAUUUUAAAAAAUUACAGCUAUAAUAUCUAAAAAAAGUACAUAAAUUAUAGAUAUUAUACUGUGAAGUGUAUAUAUAAACCUAAAAAUAAGAGUUUGGUUCCUUUUAAAACUCAAAUUUGUUUUGUCUAAGUUAUCCAUUAACAAGAUUUUUGAAUUAUAGAUAAUAUUUAAUAGUAGUACUGUUUAACGGGAAUUGAUGGACUUUAAUAUUCGUUUAUGGUUAUGAUUCGUUGCAACAGAGGUGUCAAUUUUAUAUAACUUACCUGAAUUGAGCAUCUUUGUCAGGAAUUUCAUGCAAUUCUUCUGCCUUCUCUGGAAUUGGAAGGCCUCUGGAAUUGCAGCCACAAAUACCUACAUUUAUGAGCAAAUUAGAUGGGAAAUUCAUUUUAUCUAACAUAACAAGACUGAUGAUCAGUGGGAAGGUACUAUAUUACCAAUACAAGAUUUUUUUUUUCUUUACACAUUUUUUUUUUAAAACAAUAUUACUUGGACCAGGAAAAUAUAUAUAUAUAUAUAUAUAUAUAUAUAUAUAUAUAUAUAUAUAUAUAUAUAUUAUAGAGAUGAUUUUUGGACAACUUGUAUAGGUAGGCAUAUUGGAACUAAGUCUAUGUCUUUAUAGUUUGUACGUUGCCAUACAAAAGAUAAGUUAAUUAUAUAAUAAACUAAAAGGAAAAUGAUGAUUUUAUAUUUAAGUUUAGAAUUUUGGCUAUUGUAGCAAGUAGUGUAAUAUAAUGGAAGGUACUAUAUUACCAAUACAAAACAUUAUUUUAAAAGAUACAUAUUAAGAAAAAAUAUCAAUUAAAAAAAUAAAUUUGAAAAAAAAACCAUGCGCUACCAGUCUGGCAAGUUAGGUUCGCCAGCCUCAUCCAUUUUAAAAAUAAGCGAAUGACAUGUCAUUUGUCCCAUUAACGAAGAGCAAAAAAAUAAAAGCCUACACGUACGGACCUGCAAGUAUAGAUUUUUAAAUUAUAGAUAAUGCUUAAUACCAAUUCAAUUUUAUAUAUAUAUAUAUAUAUACACACACACUUUACAAUAUAAUAUUGUAUAUAUCUAAAAACAAGAGUUCAUUUCCUUUUAAAACUCAAAUUUGUUUUGACUAAUUUAUCUACUAAAAAUAUUUAAAAUAUUGAUAAUGUUCAAUAAAAGUUGAAUUAUCUAUAUGUUAUUAUAAGAAUUUUUUUCUAAGCUAAUAAAAUCUCCUUGAAGAUUCUAACAAAGAAACCAACAGAUAAAUAAUAAUAAUAAUAAAAUUGUUUUGUGAUCAACAAAGAAAACAUAACCCCGCCCGAUCAGUCUUGGCUCUGCAUUUAUGUGUUGGUUUCUUUUAAAUGACGGGUCUGGGUAGGGACUUUAGACUCCUCGGCUCUCGAUCUGGUUUUUCAACGAGCUGGGCUAGGGUUCUUGAGUUUAAUAUAUAUAUGUGUAAUUGUGUGUGUAUUAAACAACUCCUACUAAUUGAGAAAAGUGUUUUUGUUUAUGUGUAGAAAAUUUUUAAAUUUUGUUUUUAUGAAUUUUGAUAUAAGAAUGUUAGAAAUAAUUUUUAAAAUAUAAAAAAUAUUAUUUUAAUAUUUUUAAUAAAAAACAUUUUAAAAAAUUACAGGUGUUAUAAUAUAUAAAACAAUACACAAAUUAUAGAUAUUAUAUUGUAAAGUAUAUAUACAAACUUAAAAAUAAAAGUUUAGUUCCUUUUAAAACUUAUGACUAAGUUAUGCACUAACAAGAUUUUUAAAUUAUAAAUAAUGUUUAAUAACAGUCCAAUUAUACACACACGUGAUAUUACAGGAUUUGUUUUCUUCUAAGCCAAUGAAAUCUCCAUGGGAGCUUCUAACAAAGUUUAUAUAGCAAGACUCAUGAUCAGUGGGAAGGUACUAUAGUACCAAUACAAGCUUUUUACGAAGUUAGUAGUUACCUGUGCAAAGCAUACCUCGUAACUUCCGAUGACAUGAAUGACAACAAACAAACUAGCGGCGGCAACAAGAUUUUUUUUUUCUUUACACAUUUUUUUAGGAAAAAUUAUUACUUGGACCAAGAAAAUAUAUAUAUAUAUUGUUGAGAUGGUUUUUGAACCAACUUGAAUAGGUGGACAUGCUAGGAUUAAAUCUAUGUCUUUAUAGUUUUUAUGUUGCCAUAGAAAAAAUAAAUUAAUUAUACAAUAAAUUAAAAGGAAAAUGAUGAUUUUAUAAUUAAGUUUAGAAUUUUAACUAUUGUAGCAAAUGGUGUAAUGUAACGGUGGUUUUUUUUUUUUUUGUAGAAAACAAGUUUUCUUUAGAAUUAUUUUAUGUUUAUAUUUGAUAUUUGUAUAUUUUUUUUUAUCAUUUUACACUUGGCUCGUUUUUUUUCUUGUUUUUAUUUUUUUUUGUAAUGUAUUUUUAGUUUUUUUUUUACACAUUUUUUUGGAGUAAAGUAUUACUUUUUAUUAUUUAUACUAUUUUUUUUUGUUUUUAUCUUUAUUCUUUUAUAUAUUUUUAUAUAUUUAUACAAUUGUAUUUUUUUAUUGUAGAAAACUAGUUUAUUUAAAAUUUAUUUUUUGUUUAUAUUUGAUAUUUUUUAUCAAAUAUAAAUUCAAAACAAUAAUGAUUGAUACAAUCUCUCAUGUUAUUGAAAAAUAGGCAUCUCUUAACCUCUAUUAUCUAAACAAAAGUAAAAGUUGGUUACACCUAUAUUAAAAAGGAAAAAGAUGUCUUAAGAAAAAUGUUUGAUUGUUCUUCGGAUUUUUUUCUCUAAGCCUACAAUAUAUAUAUAUAUAUAUAUCAUUUUUGGACCAACUUGGAUAGGUGAGCAUAUUGGGACUAAGUUUAUGUCUUUGUAGUUUAUACGUUGCCAUACAAAAAAUAAGUUAAUUAUACAAUAAACUAAAAGGAAAAUGAUGAUUUUAUAUUUAAGUUUAGAAUUUUGGCUAUUGUAGCAAGUGGUGUAAUGUAAUGGUGCAACAAUUGUUGUAAAUUUACUCUUUUUUUUUGUAGAAAACAAGUUUUUUUUUUAGAAUUAUUUUAUGUUUAUAUUUGAUAUUUGUUUUUUUUUUUUAUCAUUUUACACUUGGCUUGGUUUUUUUCUUGUCUUUUUUUUUGUAUUGUGUUUUUAGUUUUUUUUCCCUUACACAUUUUUUUGGAGUAAAAUAUUACUUUUUAUUAUUUAUACUUGACCUAUUUUUACUAUUUUUUUCAUUUUUAUCUUUAUUCUUAUUCUUUUAUAUACUUUUUUUAUAUAUUUAUAUAAUUUUUAUUUUUAUUGUAGAAAACUAGUUUAUUUAAAAUUUAUUUUUUGUUUAUAUUUGAUAUUUUUUAUCAAAUAUAAAUUCGAAACGAUAAUGAUUGAUACAAUCUCUCGUGUCAUCAAAAAAUAGGCAUCUCUUAAUAUCUAUUAUCUAAACAAAAGUAAGAGUUGAUUACACCUAUAUUACAAGGAAAAUGAUGACUUAAAAAAAUGUUCAAUUAUUCUUUGGAUUUUCUUUUUUUUGAGCCUACAAAAUCUCCCUGGUAGUUUCUAACAAAGUUUGAUAUCUUGAAAGCACUCCUACUCUUUAUAUAUAUAUAUAUAUAUAUAUAUAUAUAUAUAUAUAUAUAUAUAUAUAUAUAUAUAUAAUCAUGAUUUUUGAACCAACUUGGACAUGUGGCCAUAUUGAGACUAAAUCUAUAUCUUUGUAGUUUGUACGCUGCCAUACAAAAGAUAAGUUAAUUAUACAAUAAACUAAAAUGAUUAUGAUGAUUUUAUAUUUAAGUUUCGAAUUUUUGCUAUUGUAGCAAGCGGUGUAAUGUAAUAGUAGAACAAUUGUAUAUUUACCUUUCUUUUCUUAUUUUGAAAACAAGUUUUUUUUUAAUUAUUUUAUUUUUAUAUUUGAUAUUUAUUUAUUUAUUUAUCAUUUUACACUUGGCUUGGUUUUUUUCUUGUCUUUAUUUAUUUUAUUUUUUUGUAAUGUAUUUUUAGUUUUUUUUUCCUUACAUAUUUUUUUGGAGUAAAAUAUUACUUUUUAUUAUUUAUACUUGACCUAUUUAUACUAUUUUUGUUUUGUUUUUAUCUUUAUUCUUUUUUAUAUUUUUAUCUUUAUACUUUUAUUUGAAAAAUUAUUAGAGACUAAGAAAAUAGAUGGCAUGAUUCUCUUAAUCAAGAAAUGUAAAGAAGUUAGUUGAGCAAAAAAAAUAAAAUAUAUGAAUCGAUAUAAUGAUAAAAAGCUGCUAAUGGUAAUGCUAAUGAAAUUCUAAAAUAAAAAAAUAAUCAUUAUCAUAAAAGUAAAAGAUAGAUAAGUAUAAUUUUUUAUUUCAACUUUUCCCAUUGUUUUGGCUAUUGAAUGCAUACUUACCAUCCAAGUUAAGACAUGGCAUAAGGGAGGCCCAAGACCCCAGCACCAACCAUGGCUGUAACAUUGUGAAAUGCAGAAUACCACCACUUUGCAUUCCUCCACAGGGUGAUGGGAAGCCAGUCAUUCAGGUCUUUCUUCGCGUCGUCGGUGGUUGACAAAUCCUUCACCGGCUGCGUUUGAUCCAUUUUUGUUAUUCUAUAAAAUUAAUGUUAAUCUGAAUAGCAACAAGCUAUCUAAGAAGUUAUAAAUAUUCAAGAGUUGAUUAUAGAUUUCGAUAUCACCUAGUUAGAUAUUGUACUGUGAAGUGUGUAUAUAUACCUAAAAAUAACAGUUUGGUUCCUUUUCAAACUCAAAUUUGUUUUGACUAAAUUAUUCACUAACAAGAUUUUUAAAUUAUAGAUAAUGCUUAAUACUAAUUCAAUUAUAUAUAUAUAUAUAAAACAAGUGUUUGUUUCUUUUUAAAUCUCAAAUUUGUUUUGACUAAGUUAUCUACUAAAAAUAUUUAAAAUAUUGAUAAUGUUCAAUAAAAGUUGAAUUAUCUAUAUGAUAUUAUAGGAUUUUUUUUCUUCUAAGCUAAUAAAAUCCCCUUUAAGAUUCUAACAAAGAAACCAACAGAUAAAUAAUAAUAAUAUAAAAAAAAUUGUUUUGUGAUCAACAAAGAAAACAUAACCCCGCUCGAUCAGUCUUGGCUCCGCAUUUAUCUGUUGGUUUCUUUUAAAUGACGGGUCUGGGUAUUGACUUUAGACUCAUCAUCUCUCGAUUUGGUUUUUCAACGAGCUGGGCUAGGGUUCUUGAGUGUAUAUAUAUAUAUAUAUAUAUAUAUAUCUCUGUGUGUGUGUGUGUGUGUGUGUGUGUGUGUGUGUCUUAAACAACUCCUAGUAAUUGAGAAAAGUGUUUUUGUUUCUUUGUAGAAAAGUUUUGAAUUUUCUUUUAUGAAUUUUAAUAUAAGAAUGUUAGAAAUAAUUUUUAAAAUCUAAAAAAUAUUAUUUUAAUAUAUUUUUUAAUAAAAAACAUUUAAAAAAAUUAUAGCUGUUAUAAUAUUUUAAAAAAAUACACAAAUUAUAGAUAUUAUAUUGUGAAGUGUGUAUACAAACCUAAAAAUAAGAGUUUAUUUCCUUUUAAAACUCAAAUUUGUUUUGAUUAAGUUAUUCACUAACAAGAUUUUUAAAUUAUAAAUAAUGUUUAAUAGCAGUCCAAUUACACACACACACGUGAUAUUAUAGAAUUUGUUUUCUUCUAAGCCAAUAAAAUCUCCAUGGGAGCUUCUAACAAAGUUUAUAUACCAAGACUCAUGAUCAGUGGGAAGGUACUAUAAUAUAAAUACAAGCUCUUAACGAAGUUAGUAGUUACCUGCGCAAAGCAUACCUCGUAACUUCCGAUGACAUGAAUGACAACAGAUAAAUUAGCAGCGGCAACAAGAUUUUUUUUUCUUUACACAUUUUUUUGGGAAAAAUUAUUACUUGGACCAGGAAAUAUAUAUAUAUAUGAUGAUUUUAUCAUUUUACACUUGGCUUGGUUUUUUUCUUGUCUUUAAUUUUUUUUAUUUUUUGUAAUGUAUUUUUAGUUUUUUUUUCUUUACACAUUUUUUUGGAGUAAAAUAUUACUUUUUAUUAUUUAUACUUGACCUAUUUAUACUAUUUUUGUUUUUUGUUUUUUUAUCUUUAUUCUUUUUUAUAUUUUUAUCUUUAUACUUUUAUUUGAAAAAUUAUUAGAGACUAAGAAAAUAGAUGGCAUGAUUCUCUUAAUCAAGAAAUGUAAAGAAGUUAGUUAAGCAAAAAAAAUAAAAUAUAUGAAUUGAUAUAAUGAUAAAAAGCUGCUAAUGGUAAUGGUAAUGAAAUUCUAAAAUAAAAAGAUAAUCAUUAUUAUAAAAGUAAAAGAUAGAUAAAUAUAAUUUUUUAAUUCAACUUUCCCCAUUGUUUUGGCUACUGAAUGCAUACUUACCAUCCAGGUUGAGACAUGGCAUAAGGGAGGCCCAGGACCCCAGCACCAACCAUGGCUGUAACAUUGUGAAAGGCAGAAUACCACCACUUUGCAUUCCUCGACUGGGUGAUGGGAAGGCAGUCAUUCAGGUCUUUCUUCGCGUCGUUAGUGGUUGACAAAUCCUUCACCGGCUGCGUUUGAUCCAUUUUUGUUAUUCUAUAAAAUUAAUGUUAAUCUGAAUAGCAACAAGUUAUCUAAGAAGUUAUAACUAUUCAAGAGUUGAUUAUAGAUUUCAAUAUCACCUAGUUAGAUAUUGUACUGUGAAGUGUGUAUAUAUACCUAAAAAUAACAGUUUGGUUCCUUUUCAAACUCAAAUUUGUUAUGACUAAGUUAUGCACUAACAAGAUUUUUAAAUUACAGAUAAUGAUUAAUACCAAUUCAAUUAUAUAUAUAUAUAUAUAUAUAUAAACAAGUGUUUGUUUCAUUUUAAAACUCAAAUUUGUUUUGACUAAAUUAUCGACUAAAAUUAUUUAAAAUAUUGAUAAUGUUCAAUAAAAGUUGAAUUAUCUAUAUGAUAUUAUAGGAUUUUUUUUUUCUUCUAAGCUAAUAAAAUCCCCUUUAAGAUUCUAACAAAGAAACCAACAGAUAAAUAAUAAUAAUAUAAAAAAAUUGUUUUGUGAUCAACAAAGAAAACAUAACCCCGCCCGAUCAGUCUUGGCUCUGUAUUUAUCUGUUGGUUUCUUUUAAAUGACGGGUCUGGGUAUGGACUUUAGACUCAUCAGCUCUCGAUUUGGUUUUUCAACGAGUUGGGCUAGGGUUCUUGAGUUUAAUAUAUAUAUAUAUGUGUGUGUGUGUGUGUGUGUGUGUGUAUUAAACAACUCCUAGUAAUUGAGAAAAGUGUUUUUGUUUCUUUGUAGAAACGUUUUGAAUUUUUUUUAUGAAUUUUGAUAUAAGAAUGUUAGAAAUAAUUUUUAAAAUCUAAAAAAUAUUAUUUUAAUAUAUUUUUUAAUAAAAAACAUUUUAAAAAAUUAUAGUUGUUAUAAUAUUAAAAACAUACACAAAUUAUAGAUAUUAUAUUGUGAAGUGUAUAUACAACCUAAAAUAAGAGUUUAAGUUCCUUUUAAAACUCAAAUUUGUUUUGAUUAAGUUAUUCACUAACAAAAUUUUUAAAUUAUAAAUAAUGUUUAAUAGCAGUCCAAUUACACACAAACACGUUAUAUUAUAGGAUUUGUUUUCUUCUAAGCCAAUAAAAUCUCCUUGGGAGCUUUUAAAAAAGUUUAUAUACCAAGACUCAUGAUCAGUGGGAAGGUACUAUAAUACAAAUACAAGCUCUUAACGAAGUUAGUAGUUAGCUGCGCAAGGCAUACCUCGUAACUUCCGAUGACAUGAAUGACAACAGACAAAUUAGCGGCGGCAACAAGAUUUUUUUUUCUUUACACAUUUUUUUGGGAAAAAUUAUUACUUGGACCAAGAAAAUAUAUAUAUAUAUAUAUUUUUUUGUAGAGAUAAUUUUUGAACCAACUUGAACAGUGGACAUGUUGGUACUAAAUCUAUGUCUUUAUAAUUUGUAUGUUGCCAUGCAAAAAAUAAGUUAAUUAUACAAUAAACUAAAAGGAAAAUGACGAUUUUAUAAUUAAGUUUAGAAUUUUGGCUAUUGUAGCAAGUGGUGUAAUGUAAUGGUAGAACAAUUGUAUAUAUUUUUUUUUUUUUGUAGACAACAAGUUUUCUUUAGAAUUAUUUUAUGUUUAUAUUUGAUAUUUGUAUUUUUUUUUUCAUUUUACACUAGGCUCGUUUUUUUUCUUGUUUUUAUUGUUUUUGCAAUGUAUUUUUUGUUUUUUUUUCUUUACACAUUUUUUUGGAGUAAAAUAUUACUUUUUAUUAUUUAUACUAUUUUUUUGUUUUUAUCUUUAUUCUUUUAUAUAUUUAUACAUUGUAUUUUUUUAUUGUAGAAAACUAGUUUAUUUAAAAUUUAUUUUUUGUUUAUAUUUGAUAUUUUUUAUCAAAUAUAAAUUCGAAACAAUAAUGAUUGAUACAAUCUCUCAUGUUAUUGAAAAAUAGGCAUCUCUUAACCUUUGUUAUCUAAACAAAAGUAAAAGUUGGUUACACCUAUAUUAAAAAGGAAAAGAUGUCUUAAAAAAAAAUUCAAUUGUUCUUCGUAUUUUUUUCUCUAAGCCUACAAUAUAUAUAUAUAUAUAUCAUCAUUUUUGGACCAACUUGGACAGGUGGGCAUAUUGAGACUAAGUUUAUAUCUUUGUAGUUUGUAUGUUGCCAUACAAAAGAUAAGUUAAUUAUACAAUAAACUAAAAGGAAAAUGAUGAUUUUAUAUCUAAGUUUAGAAUUUUGGCUAUUGUAGCAAGUGGUGUAAUGUAAUGGUGCAACAAUUGUAAAUUUACUCUUUUUUUCUUUUUUUUUUAGAAUUAUUUUCUGUUUAUAUUUGAUAUUUGUUUUUUUUUUAUCAUUUUACACUUGGCUCGGUUUUUUUCUUGUCUUUUUUUUUGUAUUGUGUUUUUAGUUUUUUUUUCCUUACACAUUUUUUUGGAGUAAAAUAUUACUUUUUAUUAUUUAUACUUGACCUAUUUUUACUAUUUUUUUCGUUUUUAUUUUUAUUCUUAUUCUUUUAUAUAUAUUUUUUAUAUUUAUAUAAUUUUAUUUUUUAUUGUAGAAAACUAGUUUAUUUAAAAUUUAUUUUUUGUUUAUAUUUGAUAUUUUUUAUCAAAUAUAAAUUCGAAACAAUAAUGAUUGAUAUAAUCUCUCGUGUCAUCAAAAAAUAGACAUAUGUUAACAUCUGUUAUCUAAACAAAAGUAAGAGUUGAUUACACCUAUAUUACAAGGAAAAUGAUGACUUAAAAAAAUGUUCAAUUAUUCUUUGGAUUUUCUUUUUUUUUAGCCUACAAAAUCUCCCUGAUAGUUUCUAACAAAGUUUGAUAUCUUGAAAGCACUCCUACAUAUAUAAUCAUCAUGUUUGGACCAACUUGGACAGGUGGACAUAUUGAGACUAAGUCUAUAUCUUUGUAGUUUGUACGCUGUCAUACAAAAGAUAAGUUAAUUAUACAAUAAACUAAAAUGAAUAUGAUGAUUUUAUAUUUAAGUUUAGAAUUUUUGCUAUUGUAGCAAGCGGUGUAAUGUAAUGGUGGAACAAUUAUAUAUUUACUUUUUUUUGUUUUCUUUUUUUGAAAACAAGUUUUUUUUAAAAUUAUUUUCUGUUAUAUUUGAUAUUUUUUUUAUUUAUUUAUCAUUUUACACUUGGCUUGGUUUUUUUCUUGUCUUUAAUUUUUUUUUAUUUUUUGUAAUGUAUUUUUAGUUUUUUUUUCUUUACACAUUUUUUUGGAGUAAAAUAUUACUUUUUUAUUAUUUAUACUUGACCUAUUUAUACUAUUUUUGUUUUGUUUUUAUCUUUAUUCUUUUUUAUAUUUUUAUCUUUAUACUUUUAUUUGAAAAAUUAUUAGAGACUAAGAAAAUAGAUGGCAUGAUUCUCUUAAUCAAGAAAUGUAAAGAAGUUAGUUGAGCAAAAAAAAUAAUAUAUGAAUCGAUAUAAUGAUAAAAAGCUGCAAAUGGUAAUGGUAAUGAAAUUCUAAAAUUAAAAGAUAAUCAUUAUCAUAAAAGUAAAAGAUAGAUAAGUAUAAUUUUUUAAUUCAACUUUCCUCAUUGUUUUGGCUACUAAAUGCAUACUCACCAUCCAGGUUGAGACAUGGCAUAAGGGAGGCCCAGGACCCCAGCACCAACCAUGGCUGUAACAUUGUGAAAGGCAGAAUACCACCACUUUGCAUUCCUCGACUGGGUAAUGGGAAGGCAGUCAUUCAGGUCUUUCUUCGCGUCGUCGGUGGUUGACAAAUCCUUCACCGGCUGCGUUUGAUCCAUUUUUGUUAUUCUAUAAAAUUAAUGUUAAUCUGAAUAGCAACAAGCUAUCUAAGAAGUUAUAACUAUUCAAGAGUUGAUUAUAGAUUUUGAUAUCACCUAGUUAGAUAUUGAAAUGUGAAGUGUGUAUAUAUACCUAAAAAUAACAGUUUGGUUCCUUUUCAAACUCAAAUUUGUUUUGACUAAGUUAUCCACUAACAAGAUUUUUAAUUUACAGAUAAUGCUUAAUACCAAUUCAUAUAUAUAUAUAUAUAUAUAUAUAUAUAUAUAUAUAUAUAUAUAUAUAUCUAAAAACAAGUGUUUGUUUCCUUUUAAAACUCAAAUUUAUUUUGACUAAGUUAUCUACUAAAAAUAUUUAAAAUAUUGAUAAUGUUCAAUAAAAGUUGAAUAAUCUAUAUGAUAUUAUAGGAUUUUUUUUUCUUCUAAGCUAAUAAAAUCUCUUGGGAGUUUCUAACAAAGAAACCAACAGAUAAAUAAUAAUAAUAAUAAUAAAUUGUUUUGUGAUCGACAAAGAAAACAUAAUCUCGCCCGAUCAGUCUUGUCUCUACAUUUAUUUGUUGGUUUCUUUUAAAUGAUGGGUUUGGGUAUGGACUUUAGACUCAUCAGCUCUCGGUCUGGUUUUUCAUCGAGUUGGGCUAGGGUUCUUGAGUUUAAUAUAUAUAUAUAUAUAUAUGUGAGUGUGUAUGUAUUAAACAACUCCUAGUAAUUGAGAAAAGUGUUUUUGUUUCUGUGUAGAAAAUUUUUGAAUUUGUUUUAUGAAUUUUGAUAUAAGAAUGUUAGAAAUAAUUUUUAAAAUAUAAAAAUAUUAUUUUAAUAUAUUUUUUAUUUAAAUUUUUAAAAAAAACUUAUAGCUGUUAUAAUAUCUAAAAAAAUACACAAAUUAUAGAUAUUAUAUUGUGAAGUGUAUAUACAAACCUAAAAAUAAGAGUUUAGUUCCUUUUAAAACUCAAAUUUGUUUUGACUAAGGUAUUCACUAAUAAGAUUUUUAAAUUAUAAAUAAUGUAUAAUAGCAGUCCAAUUAUACACACACGUGAUAUUAUAGGAUUUGUUUUCUUCUAAGCCAAUAAAAUCUCCAUGGGAGCUUCUAACAAAGUUUAUAUACCAAGACUCAUGAUCAGUGGGAAGGUACCAUAAUACCAAUACAAGCUCUUUACGAAGUUAGUAGUUACCUACGCAAAGCAUACCUCGUAACUUCUGAUGACAUGAAUGACAACAAACAAAUUAGCGGCGGCAACAAGAUUUUUUUUUUCUUUACACAUUUUUUUGGGAAAAAUUAUUUCUUGGACCAGGAAAAUAUAUAUAUGAUUUUUGAACCAACUUGAAUAGGUGGACAUGUUGGGACUAAAUCUAUGUCUUUAUAGUUUGUAUGUUGCCAUACAAAAAAUAAUUUAAUUAUACAAUAAAUUAAAAGGAAAAUGAUAAUUUUAUAAUUAAGUUUAGAAGUUUGACUAUUGUAGUAAGUGGUGUAAUGUAAUGGUGGAACAAUUGUAUUUUUGUUUUUUGUAGAAAAAAAAGUUUUCUUUAGAAUUAUUUUAUGUUUAUAUUUGACAUUUGUAUUUUUUUUUAUCAUUUUGCACUUGGCUCGUUUUUUUUCUUGUUUUUAUUUUUUUUGUAAUGUAAUUUUAGUUUUUUUUUCUUUACACAUUUUUUUGGAGUUAAAUAUUACUUUUUAUUAUUUAUACUAUGUUUUUUUGUUUUCAUCUUUAUUCUUUUAUAUAUUUUUAUAUAAUUAUACAAUUGUAUUUUUUUAUUAUAGAAAACUAGUUUAUUUAAAAUUUAUUUUUUGUUUAUAUUUGAUAUUUUUUAUCAAAUAUAAAUUUGAAACAAUAAUGAUUGAUACAAUCUCUCAUGUUAUUGAAAAAUAGGCAUCUCUUAAUCUCUGUUAUCUAAACAAAAGUAAAAGUUGGUUACACCUAUAUUAAAAAGAAAAAAGAUGUCUUAAAAAAAUGUUCAAUUGUUCUUCGGAUUUUUUUCUCUAAGCCUACAAUAUAUAUAUAUAUAUAUAUAUAUAUAUAAACGAUAAUGAUUGAUACAAUCUCUCUUGUCAUCAAAAAAUAAGCAUAUGUAAGCCUCUGUUAUCUAAACAAAAAUAAAAGUUGGUUACACCAAUAUUACAAGGAAAAAAAUGACUUAAAAAAAUGUUGAAUUAUUCUUUGGAUUUUCUUUUUUUUUUAGCCUACAAAAUCUCGCUGGUAGUUUCUAACAAAGUUUGAUAUAUUGAAAACACUCCUACUCAUUAUAUAUAUAUAUAUAUAUAAUCAUCAUUUUUGGACCAACUUGGACAGGUGGACAUAUUGGGACUAAGUCUAUAUCUUUGUAGUUUGUACGCUGCCAUACAAAAGAUAAGUUAAUUAUACAAUAAACUAAAAGGAAAAUGAUGAUUUUAUAUUUAAGUUUAGAAUUUUGGCUAUUGUAGCUAGCGGUGUAAUGUAAUGGUGGAACAAUUGUAUAUUUACUUUGUUUUUCUUUUUUUUUUAGAAAACAAGUUUUUUUUAGAAUUAUUUUCUGUUUAUAUUUGAUAUUUAUUUAUUUAUUUAUCAUUUUACACUUGGCUUGGUUUUUUUCUUGUCUUUAAUUUUUUUUUGUAAUGUAUUUUUAGUUUUUUUUUCUUUACACAUUUUUUUGGAGUAAAAUAUUACUUUUUAUUAUUUAUACUUGACCUAUUUAUACUAUUUUGUUUUUGUUUUUGUUUUUAUCUUUAUUCUUUUAUAGAUUUUUAUCUUUAUACUUUUAUUUGAAAAAUUAUUAGAGACUAAGAAAAUAGAUGGCAUGAUUCUCUUAAUCAAGGAAUGUAAAGAAGUUAGUUAAGCAAAAAACAUAAAAUAUAUGAAUCGAUAUAAUGAUAAAAAGCUGCUAAUGGUAAUGGUAAUAAAAUUCUAGAAUAAAAAGAUAAUCAUUAUCAUAAAAGUAAAAGAUAGAGUAGUAAAUAUUCCAAGUGUCAAGAAUAAGAAAUAAUAAUCUUUUUUCCAAAAAGACGUUUAAAGAGAAAAAAUGGGAAAAUUGAAAAAAAAACAAUUACAAAAAAAUAAAGAUAAGAGCAAAAAGAAUGGUGGUAAAUAGAUUAAGUGUAAAGUGAUAAAUAUAUCAAGUGUAAAGUAAAAAAUAUAUAUUAAGUUUAAUUUGAACAACAACAAACUAUCUAUGAGGUUGUAACUAUUCGAGAGUGGAUUAAGGGUGUGGAUAUUAGCUAGUUAGAUGCUAUGAUGUGAAAUGUAUAUAUGUAUCUAAAAACAAGAGUUUGUUUCCUUUUGAAACUGAAAUUUACUUUGAUUAAGUUAUUCACUAAAAAGAUUUAAAUUAUAGAUAAUGUUGAGGAGCACUUUAAUUAUCUAUUUAUAUACAUAUACAAACCCAGUAUUGCGAUACGAUAUUAUAAGGUUAUUUCUUUUCUUUUCUAAGCUGAUAAAAUCUUCCUAAGCGAUAGUUUGUAACAAAGUUUGAUACUUGGAAACAUUAAUUUUAUUUUUUUUUUAUAUGGUAGAGAUGACUUUGGACCACCUUGGGCUAGUAGGCAUAUUGGUUUUCCGCAAAAAAAAAUUUAAAUUACAAAUUUUUCAUAUUCUAGUAAUGUAGUGAAAAAAACUUUAGAAAAUUAUAAUUUUAUCCCUGCUACAACAUAGCUAAAAAAAUUAAAUUUUGAAUUUUGCUACUGCUGGAGUAAAACAAAUUGAGGAAAAAAAAUACAAAAUUACCAUUUCUAUACUGAUUUACCAUUUUCAUUUAGUUUAUUAUAUAAUAAUUGGGAUACAAAAGAUAAGUUAAUUGCUACUAUUUGAUAAUACAAUUUUCAUUAAGAGGACUUGCUUGUUAGUUUAUCACUCUUACUAGAGAGUUUAGGUGUCCAAAGAUUUCUUUCAUGUCUCCCAAAAUCAAGAUGACUUUGAAUUAAUUAUUCUAAAACGCUUAACAAUAGAAUUUUUCAAGGAAUGUUUCGUCUACUGGGAAUUCAUCUGAGCUGUAAGAUUUUGGAGGUGUUAGAGUGGUGGAGAGAGGGUGCCGAGGGAGGAGGAGGAACUGGUGGUGGUUUUUAUGGUGGGGUUUAAGGGAAGGGUUUAGGGGUUUGGGUAAAGAGAAGAGAGGGAAAGGAGUUUGGAGGAUUUGCAUUUUUGUGUGCAAA